AUCUUGAAUAUUAUUAUAGAUAGAGAUAAAUUGUAAACAGCAAUAAUGUUCAGCAAAGUAAGAUCUACAAAUAAGUCAACAUGACCAAAAUGGUCAGUUGACCCCUUUAGGAGUUAUUGCCCUUUAUAGUCAAUCUUUAACCAUUUUUCAUAAAUCUAAGUAAUCUUUUACAAAAUCUCCACUGAAACUACUAGGCCACAAUCAUCUUUGGGGUAUCUAGUUUGAAAAAUGUGUCCGAUGACCUGGC
rnacentral:lncRNA from 1 species